rnacentral:rRNA from 1 species
GAUGAACGCUGGCGGCGUGCCUAAUACAUGCAAGUCGAGCGAACGGACGAGAAGCUUGCUUCUCUGAUGUUAGCGGCGGACGGGUGAGUAACACGUGGAUAACCUACCUAUAAGACUGGGAUAACUUCGGGAAACCGGAGCUAAUACCGGAUGAUAUUUUGAACCGCAUGGUUCAAAGUGAAAGACGGUCUUGCUGUCACUUAUAGAUGGAUCCGCGCUGCAUUAGCUAGUUGGUAAGGUAACGGCUUACCAAGGCAACGAUGCAUAGCCGACCUGAGAGGGUCAUCGGCCACACUGGAACUGAGACACGGUCCAGACUCCUACGGGAGGCAGCAGUAGGGAAUCUUCCGCAAUGGGCGAAAGCCUGACGGAGCAACGCCGCGUGAGUGAUGAAGGUCUUCGGAUCGUAAAACUCUGUUAUUAGGGAAGAACAUAUGUGUAAGUAACUGUGCACAUCUUGACGGUACCUAAUCAGAAAGCCACGGCUAACUACGUG